CUUAUCGAGAGUGGCGGAGGGACCGGCCCGAUGAAGCCCGACAACCUGCGAAAAUCGCAAGGUGCCAAUUCCGGCGAUGAAGUAUCGACAGAUGAGG
rnacentral:ncRNA from 1 species